rnacentral:rRNA from 1 species
GACUCUCAGCGUUGGAUCACUCGGCUUGUGGGUCGAUGAAGAACGCAGUUAGCUGCGAGGGUUCAGGUGAAUUGCAGGACACGUUGAUCAUCGACACUUCCAACGCACUUGCGGCCCUUUGUUCCUCCCAGGCCUACACCUGUCUGAGUGUCG